rnacentral:rRNA from 1 species
CCUACGGGUGGCAGCAGUGGGGAAUAUUGCACAAUGGGCGCAAGCCUGAUGGAGCCAUGCCGCGUGUGUGAAGAAGGCCUUCGGGUUGUAAAGCACUUUCAGCGGGGAGGAAGGCGUUAAGGUCAAUAACCUUGGCCAUUGACGUUACCCGCAGAAGAAGCACCGGCUAACUCCGUGCCAGCAGCCGCGGUAAUACGGAGGGUGCAAGCGUUAAUCGGAAUUACUGGGCGUAAAGCGCACGCAGGCGGUCUGUCAAGUCGGAUGUGAAAUCCCCGGGCUCAACCUGGGAACUGCAUUCGAAACUGGCAGGCUAGAGUCUUGUAGAGGGGGGUAGAAUUCCAGGUGUAGCGGUGAAAUGCGUAGAGAUCUGGAGGAAUACCGGUGGCGAAGGCGGCCCCCUGGACAAAGACUGACGCUCAGGUGCGAAAGCGUGGGGAGCAAACAGGAUUAGAUACCCGAGUAGUC